UGCAGGAGUCACUGUGGAAGUGACAUAGUCAGGGCAGCGGGCAUGAGGACUGCAUGACGCUGCCUGUGGAGAGAGACCUUGAAAGACCACCCCAGAAAUGGAAACUGCAGAGUGACCAGGCCGCAGGGCUGAGUCAUGAAGAGGAAGCGGCAGCUCCUGGAGCACGACGGGGCUGCAGACUGAGUGAUGGAGCGCAAUUGCAGGAAGGGGUGUUGGCCUAGAAUCCCCAGAACCGCCAGGAGGAGGCAUCGUCUAGCAGCAGAAGGAAGACCCUGCUGCUUUCUAAACUGACCAAUGCAUAAAAGAGCUGGCUGUGGUCUUAGUGCAGUGGGCAAGUGAAAUGUUAACGAGGGACAUUCAGCUGACACGUAAUGCUAUAUAUACCCAGGGUUCUGCUUAGAUUUCGGUGGAUAUUGAAGAGAACGAAUGAACAUUUGCUCCCAUUUUUAAAUGAAUUUAUGCUCAGUUUGUUCAUAACCCUUCUGUGUUUGCUCUGCAGGAACAUUCACUGUCUGUUUCAGGGCAGAGUAACAGCUCACAUUUCAAAAGCAAAAAUAUGGUAGCCCCACCCGGAGCUAACAGUUCACAAGCAGUUGGCAGCCUGAGAUGUGUUUUGCUAGUAGCAUUAACUCAAUAAAAUGGUCCUCAGGGUAAUUCAUGAAUAGGAAAAAUAAUUAAAUAAAAUGAACAUACCAAUCACUGCAAAUAAUUUGCCCAACUCUGACUACCUAGCAUUCCCAUCACUGCAGAUUGCAGCUCAUUUGUGUCAUUCUAAACUCCACAGCUGUGCUUGUUUUAUCUAUUUUAGGUACUUACAUGCUCUCAGUGACCAUAAUAUCUGAGCACCUCACCGACCUUAAUGUUUUUUUC